UUUAUACUAAUUAUUAAUUAUUUAUAUAAUAUUUAUUAUCAAUAUAAGAGAUUUUAUAUCUAUUUCUAAUAUAGUAAUAGAAAAUUUUAAAUAUUAAAAAGUAAAUAUAU
rnacentral:rRNA from 1 species